rnacentral:rRNA from 1 species
GGGACACGUGGUAUCCUGUCUGAAUAUGGGGGGACCAUCCUCCAAGGCUAAAUACUCCUGACUGACCGAUAGUGAACCAGUACCGUGAGGGAAAGGCGAAAAGAACCCCGGCGAGGGGAGUGAAAAAGAACCUGAAACCGUGUACGUACAAGCAGUGGGAGCACCCUUUGGGGUGUGACUGCGUACCUUUUGUAUAAUGGGUCAGCGACUUAUAUUCUGUAGCAAGGUUAACCGAAUAGGGGAGCCGGAGGGAAACCGAGUCUUAAUUGGGCGUUAAGUUGCAGGGUAUAGACCCGAAACCCGGUGAUCUAGCCAUGGGCAGGUUGAAGGUUGGGUAACACUAACUGGAGGACCGAACCGACUAAUGUUGAAAAAUUAGCGGAUGACCUGUGGCUGGGGGUGAAAGGCCAAUCAAACCGGGAGAUAGCUGGUUCUCCCCGAAAGCUAUUUAGGUAGCGCCUCGUGAAUUCAUCUCCGGGGGUAGAGCACUGUUUCGGCUAGGGGGCCAUCCCGGCUUACCAACCCGAUGCAAACUGCGAAUACCGGAGAAUGUUAUCACGGGAGACACACGGCGGGUGCUAACGUCCGUCGUGAAGAGGGAAACAACCCAGACCGCCAGCUAAGGUCCCAAAGUCAUGGUUAAGUGGGAAACGAUGUGGGAAGGCCCAGACAGCCAGGAUGUUGGCUUAGAAGCAGCCAUCAUUUAAAGAAAGCGUAAUAGCUCACUGGUCGAGUCGGCCUGCGCGGAAGAUGUAACGGGGCUAAACUAUGCACCGAAGCUGCGGCAGCGACACUAUGUGUUGUUGGGUAGGGGAGCGUUCUGUAAGCCUGUGAAGGUGUGUCGUGAGGCAUGCUGGAGGUAUCAGAAGUGCGAAUGCUGACAUAAGUAACGAUAAAGCGGGUGAAAAGCCCGCUCGCCGGAAGACCAAGGGUUCCUGUCCAACGUUAAUCGGGGCAGGGUGAGUCGACCCCUAAGGCGAGGCCGAAAGGCGUAGUCGAUGGGAAACGGGUUAAUAUUCCCGUACUUGGUGUUACUGCGAAGGGGGGACGGAGAAGGCUAUGUUGGCCGGGCGACGGUUGUCCCGGUUUAAGCGUGUAGGUGUGUGUUCCAGGUAAAUCCGGUUCACUUUAACACUGAGGCGUGACGACGAGGCACUACGGUGCUGAAGCAACAAAUGCCCUGCUUCCAGGAAAAGCCUCUAAGCAUCAGGUAACAUCAAAUCGUACCCCAAACCGACACAGGUGGUCAGGUAGAGAAUACCAAGGCGCUUGAGAGAACUCGGGUGAAGGAACUAGGCAAAAUGGUGCCGUAACUUCGGGAGAAGGCACGCUGACACGUAGGUGAAGUGAUUUACUCAUGGAGCUGAAGUCAGUCGAAGAUACCAGCUGGCUGCAACUGUUUAUUAAAAACACAGCACUGUGCAAACACGAAAGUGGACGUAUACGGUGUGACGCCUGCCCGGUGCCGGAAGGUUAAUUGAUGGGGUCAGCGCAAGCGAAGCUCCUGAUCGAAGCCCCGGUAAACGGCGGCCGUAACUAUAACGGUCCUAAGGUAGCGAAAUUCCUUGUCGGGUAAGUUCCGACCUGCACGAAUGGCGUAAUGAUGGCCAGGCUGUCUCCACCCGAGACUCAGUGAAAUUGAACUCGCUGUGAAGAUGCAGUGUACCCGCGGCAAGACGGAAAGACCCCGUGAACCUUUACUAUAGCUUGACACUGAACAUUGAGCCUUGAUGUGUAG